ACGUCCGUUACGUUGGUGACGUCACCACGAGCGCGAGAAGUCGAAGGUAGGAGCAGAAAGCGGUGCUAGUGUUAGUUCUGGCCCGUUUGGACCCAAACUAAAGUGUAUCAGUAUGAAGCAAGCGGUGACGGCGCACUGAUUCACUCUCGGAGCUCGGUUCACUAAUGACCGAAUCACCGAGGAACCGACCAAAGAUAACUCACACCCGCACGGAGAAGAAGAACAAGAGGAGGAGAAGAUGAGCUGGAGUGGGGCAAAGAGAACUGCAUUCAGAUCAAACGGAUACAAGAGAGGUGGCCGAGUUGUUUGAGGAUCUAAAGAAUUGAGUGUUACAAUUCAACAUGCACAUCAGCGAAACUUUUCCCUCUGACUACACCAGCACGCACGCACAGAAAUUCAUAGUGCAGGUGGUGAUUGCAGGCGCAUUUUAUCCGAACUGCUUCCUCCAGGGAACUCUAUGGAAACGACCCCAGGACCACCAUAGUGUGUGUAAUCUCCCUCCAUUUGCAUUCCUCUACUAUAAACAGCUCCAGUCUCUCUUCAGACACUGUGGUUAAAUCAAAUCCAUCUCCUUUGACAGCUCCAGGGCCUAUGUAGAGUUCUACCGCUCGUCAAUGAGAGGUUCUGGCGUUCUCCCAGAGGUCUCUCUGUCUCUCCUCCUCACGCAGCAGAGACUUCCUCUCCAUCUCAACGUUUAACCCGCUGGAGAGGUGGAGACUUGGGCAGGGGGGUAGUGUAUCUCACACCUCAGAUAUACACGGGUGAAUGUGGAUUUUCAGAAUCAGUCAGUGAGCCCUGUCGGGGUUCUGAGCAGCUCCGUUGAGCUGGAGAAUCUUCCGUCUAACCCUGUCUUUAUCGUCAAUAUCACCGAGGUCAUCAAAGUCGGGCAUUUCUGGGGUUUCCAGGCUCACUCGGCAAGUCUGGAGAAACAGAGGUGGCUGACAGUGGCCGUUAAUACACGGGUGCUCUGCCCACUUCCUGUCUCACUUUAUUCAAAUCUUCUGUGUCUCGCCCCUUUCUCUGAAACUCACACCAAACCUGGGAAUUACUACAGAGCCAAAAUACUGCAUGUCAUGGGGAGUAAUGUAAGGUAAACUGGUUGGCGCUUAUUGACGGGGUGUAUGUGCGUGACUGCACCUGGCGCAUAUUGAAGAGGGUGAUUGCUAACUCCCUGGAAAAGAAUCUCAAUUGGAGGGGAGUCGAUGGAAAGACUUCACUGUCCGCUCUCCAACUCGGAGAGGUCGUGAUUGGAGACGCACCUACGUCUUAAAGUAUUAAAGAUCAUCAAAGGUUACUCUGCCCUUGGCUGCAGUUCAUAGAAACCUCUUCACGGCUAAAGCUGCAGAGAUGGAGGUCGAGGGGACCAUGAAGAGGCGGCUCCAGCUGGCAUCAGAGCGAGAGUGUGGGCGCAAGAGCAGACUUUUGAUAAAGGAGGGUAUUUACAGUGUUUUAACUGGUGUGUUUUUUGCGCUAUUUAUUAAUUUGUUAAAAUGUUCAUAUUAUAGUCUAUUUUUAAUUGUUUAUAAAAGUCCUUGCUGUUUUUAAGUGUCUGAAUUAGUGUGUGUGCACGCGUGUGUGCGUGCGUGUUGGUAGCUGGGUGGGUAUAUAGUUCUGGUCGGAAGUUGACAUACCCCUUGCAGGAAAAAGAGACCCUGUGUAAUCUGUUUAAACGACUUUUACGCAUGUUUUGCAGAGAGAUCAUUUUCACCUUGCUGUUUGGGUCUCUGUCCCACACUGUUACAGUGCAGUAUUGAGAGCACGAGGGAGAUCGAUUUUCUAUCAGAAACAGUAACUAUAUAAAAUGGACGUCAACACGCACCACUCUGUGAGGUCAUUUCUCGCUCUCAACAGAGUAGUUGUGAUUGUUCAGUGUUUACGACAGGGCCAAAACAUUCAAGGCCAUGGUGUAUUUUGACUGUUCCUGUAGCAUAAUCUCACCAAACUGUGUGUACACGAGUCCACAGACACUGAGUCUAUUCACAGUUCCAUGCUGUGUAGAUGUUCUGCUCAUCCUCACUGUACCGUAAAGGUCAGAACCUCACAUCUGUAACCUUGUAGCUUUCCUUAAUCAACACGACUGCGACCAAGCUUGUGUAUCACUACUAUUUUUAGAUCUCCGCCUCUCAAAAGUAUUGGCGCCCUGCGCGGCCGCCUCUCAAAUCUUUUGCCGCCCUACGCGGCCGGCUCUCAAAUCUGUUGGCGCCCUAUGCGUCCGGCUGUCAAAUCUAUUGGCGCCCUAUGCGUCCGGCUCUCAAAACUAUUGGCGCCCUUCACGGGCAGUUCUCAAAAGUAUUGGCACCCGAUCUGAAUUUUGCCACGGCAAGCACUACUCACAUUUUCUUCAGGAAAUGUACCUUAAAAUAAUAAAAAGUCUCUCACUAGGCUGUGUGUCGAGAUAAACGUGAAAACAUCUUGAGCUUGUGUUCACCACAGACCUUAUUUCCGGCAUUUAACCCAAAACCCCAUUGACGGAAGUGCUAAUACGCUGACUCGUUUCUGGGUUUCACGACUCAUUCCUGCAGCACUCUGUAAGACGGGCUGUUGUUAUCAAACCAUCGAAGUAAGAUAAGCGGCUUUGGUAAUGAUUCUUUAAAUGAACCGAUUCAGAAUCCUCUUCUUGAAUCGUUUGAGUCGUUCUCACUCGGUCAGGGUUGCACGUGUGGGUUGCUUUUCCUGCACGUGUAAUCAGCACGUGUUCACAGACCGUAAAUCCCGACCCCAUGGUAGACACUCGACAGAAAUUUCAUACUAAAGUAAGUAUUUUAUAUUUUCUGGGUCUAAACAGAGCAGAAGUAAUGCUAACGUGUUGUACAGAUUCUAUUGGACUAGUGAACUGUGUGGAUUUGUAUAUUUAACCCAGUUUAAUAUGGCCUGCUUUGUUCAGUCAGAGACAAGUAAAUCUGUUCUAAUGUUCAUUUAUUUUCCAUAGAUAAAACAAAUGUUUGUUUACACAUGAAUACGUACUUUAUGCCUUCAGAAUGGUGGAGAUUUGGCUCUUAACUAUGGUUAAGUGGGGGGUACUAUAAAAUGCACAGUUCUGAGACACUAUAUACCUAUACUGUGAAAUCAGUACAUGUGUGUGUUUAGAAUGAUUAUAGCUUUUGGGGAAAAAACUAUUCUUGAAUCUAUUAGUCCUUGUUCUGAUGCACCUGUAACGUCUCCCUGAGGGCAACAGAUCAGAGCCAGGGUGAGAGCUGUCCUCAAUGAUGGUUUUUCCUCUGCUGAGGCAACGGGGGGUGUAAAUAUCCAUCAGGGAGGUGUUGUGGAUAAAAAAUGUCAUAAAAUAAACAUAAGGGAGACCUAGCAUCCAGCAAAGGGGAGAAGAAGAAAAGAUGGGCACCUAGACACAUAGAAGCGGGAUUAGGCGGACAUUGACAAAUUGGAAUUACACUUUAAAGAUCUUUAAGAGCAGUAGUAGUCAAAAAAGUCAAAAAGAGGUAUACGAGCUGAGCUGAGGAGUGCUAAUACACACACACACACACACGCUCGUACAGUCAAGGGCGGGCAAGUAGACGCAACAUACACACACAUGAAUAACUUUAAUAAUCUUAUAGUAAUAGAGAAACUCUCUAUAAAAAAACAGAAUAGUAGGAUAUGCAGGACAGUAUGGAGGAUAUGCAGGAGCUUAAGCUCAUCACUUCUGAGAAUUCUCAUCGGUGUGGAUCUCGUGUGGUGGAACGGAACAAUAAAUCUGGACCCUUGCUUCUUCUCACUCACGGCUGGUGUCUUUUUUUUCUAUCUCCAACUGGGCUCAGAGGUAGAUGUGAGUGUUGGCUUCUAUGUUGAAUUUUAAGUGUUUUUGGGUAAUAGGCUAUAUUUGAGCCAACAGAGGGGAGAGGUAAUAAAUAAACUUAUAAAUGUGAUUACUUGAUGACCGUAGACAGAACUCUAUAAAUGUGAAAUGUUUUGUUGAAGUUCAGAUGAAUCUCUGAUGUACAGAAUCUUCAACAGAGUUCUGCAGAAAGAUUUUAAAUGCCUGUCAUUCACCAGAACAAAUUUGCAGUUGAACAGUCUGUCUAAAAGAAAAAAUCUAAACACACAAUAUAAAAUUCCUGCAGUAUGAAUAAAGCCUUUGUGUUGCUUUUAGCAAACAUGUCUAGUACUCUCGGUUCAAUGUACACAAUUUACCCCAUUUAAAUGCAUUUUAGAAAUUGUUCCAUAUGGCCUUAAAGUGUGAAUAUUCACUGUAUGCCAAAUAAGUAAUCAAAGAAUGGAACUGAAUUUUUUCUUCUCUAAUGGACCAUUAAUCACAAUUAUAAAAGAUGAUGCAUCAGGUACAAAGUAUCAGGGUUUUUCCCCCCUCUUUUUCCCACAAUAGUUGCAUGAUUUUUGCUACACCCUUUCCACCAUGUGUGUGUGUGUGAGCGCGCGCGCUACAAAUCACUUUGAGGUAAAAAUAUUUUAAGGCAGCCACUUUCACCUUCCUACAACAAUUGGUGACUGGUCUGAGGUGAAGCUUCUUGUCAUGUUACUGUGGUCAUGGAUCACAUUGUGGGGAUCUCUGUAAUGUAACCGUUUCUGUAAUUAUCCUUACUUGCCUUUGCGCUUUUGUGCUUCUGCGUCUUCUGUUGGUGCUUUAUUCUGCUUUUUAGGGCCCGAGCACCGCUGCUGUGAAGCCCUAUUGGAUCUGCUGUUUAUUAUUGGGGCAGAGCACCGAAGGUGCAGCGCUUCUGGUGACCACUGGAGGUGCAGGGCCCUAUUGAUUUUCUGGUGUUUAUUGUUUAUUUCAUGCAUUCUUGUCGUUUUUAAGGGCCUAAACAUGGCUGAAAACUCCCAAAACUCGGUAGACGCGCCAGCACCAGUGAAAAUGUAACUUGCAUGGUCGAGGAGCUCCUUAGCACCCCUGAAUGCAGACAAAGAUAUCAGUUAGAUUCAGCUUCGGACACAAGUUCCAGGUACUGAUCGAGAAGGAGUGGAUCAGCUUCGGACUCAAGCUGGCCUCGCGUGUCGGCCUUGGAGAUGAGAAUCACGCCAACUCGGAACGAUCCCCUCUCUUUGUGCAGUUCAUCGACUGUGUGUGGCAGAUGAUGAGACAGGUGAAACCCAGGGCUCAAACCAAGAGAAGACAUUCAGAGCUAUUCAUUGUUUAAAGUCAAUUUAACAAGGUACACCUGGCCAGCAAGAAAAAAACAUCAGUCACUCGUUCCAGUAUUUUUGAACAGUUAAUGAAUAGGAUGGCUUCAAAAAAGCUGCCAUAUUUUAAGCUGUGUAACACGUCUAGAUGUAAAUAUGAGGAAAUGAAAGCUGAAAUUCUGAUCUAUCGUCUCAUAUUCGUCUUUUAUCUCAAACCCAAAUGUCUUCAGUAUACAGCAAAAGCAAGUGAAUUGGCCUUGAUGUUCCAAUACUUUUGAAGAGGACUCUAAUUUUUCCUUCUGCUUCUGAGUUCAAAGAGCUUUUUCUCAUCCCCAUCCUGGAUCGCCCCUACAGCUGCCUGUUUGGUACAUUCCUCUACAGCAGUGAGCAGGAGAGAAUGGAAAAGAUACGCUCCACAUUUCUCCACUAAUGGACGGAGGCUUUCCAGCCUGUUUGAUUUUUCUGAAUGGAAAUGAAUUUGUCUAAGUGUAUUAUGACUUGUCUCUCUCUCUCUCUUGCUCGCUCUCUCUCUCUCUCUCUCUCUCUCUCUCUCUCUCUCUCUCUCUCUCUCUCUCUCUGUCCCCUCUUUUGUUUUUAGGAAGUACAGGGUAAAACGGUCACUGUGGUCCUACAUUAAGUCAGCCGGAGGACUUCACUAACCCGUUCUAUGUGGACUGUAAAAACCAGGUGCUGUAUCCACUGGCCAGUCUCGCACAUCUGGAGCUCUGGGUGGGUUAUUAUGUGCGCUGGAACCCACGCAUGAGACCUCAGAUGCCGCUCCAUCAGAAUCUGAGAGAGUUACUGUUUUUGCGUGAAGAACGUGGAGGAGCUCCAGAGAGAGGCCACGUCAUCCUGCUUCAUCUCCUCAUCCUCAGAGCAUACUUCUCCCUCCUCACAUAGUGGUACACCACUUCACACUGCUGUCUAAAUACACACGCGCACACACACAUACAUACAUUUAAGAGCACACACUGUCUUUACUCAAUGAAUACACUCGGGCACAAGUAGGGAGUGGAUGAGUAUGAAGCGGGCACACACACACACACACACACACACACACAUUCCUGUUUGCAAUUUUUUUAACUAUAGAGAAGUAACCUAGUGUCACAUUUUAUAAAUCCUUAAUACUUAAAAAUGGAUCUUGGAUCAAUGAGGUUUUCUACUGUUCUCAAGGUUUGGCAUGCUGUGCAUCCUGAGAUGCUUUUCUGCUCACCAUGUAUGUAAAGAGAGGUUAUUUGAUGUUACCAUGGCCGUCCUAUUAACUUGACCCAGUCUGGCCAUUCUCCUUUCGCCAACAACGUGUUUCCACCCCGAGAACUGCCACUUACCGGAUGUUUUUCACACAAGUGUGUGUGUGUGGGUGUGUGUGUGUGUGUGUGUGUGUGUGUGUGUGUGUGUGUGUGUGUGUGUAAAUCCUAGGAGAGCCGCAGUUUCUGGAAUACUCAAACCAGACCACUUAGAAUCUACAACCAUGCCGCGGAUAAAAUCACUGGAUUGCAUUCUGGUGUUUGAUGUGAAUAUUGACUGAAGCUCUUCAUCUGAUCCUGCUUGAUGUUGUACAUUGUGGUGUUGCCAUAUGAUUGGCUGAUUGGAUAAUUGUAUGAAUGAGCACAUGUACAAGUGAUCAGUGAGCACAUCCAUCUACCAUAGAGGUAUUUUGGGGCAAUACUUGACAAUGUACCUGACUUUGUUAGAUUUGUGGCCAAGUUGAAGAAGCUUUUGACAGCCGAAUGGAAAAAAAUUAAUAAAACAAUUCAAGACAAAUUCA